rnacentral:rRNA from 1 species
UACGGAGGGUCCAAGCGUUAUCCGGAAUCAUUGGGUUUAAAGGUCCGUAGGCGGUUUGUAAGUCAGUGGUGAAAGCCCAUCGCUCAACGGUGGAACGGCCAUUGAUACUGCAAGACUUGAAUUAUUGGGAAGUAACUAGAAUAUGUAGUGUAGCGGUGAAAUGCUUAGAGAUUACAUGGAAUACCAAUUGCGAAGGCAGGUUACUACCAAUAUAUUGACGCUGAUGGACGAAAGCGUGGGAGCGAACGAGGAACUUGAAUAAG